CAGCGACACUCAGGUGUUGUUGGGUAGGGGAGCGUUCUGUAAGCCUGCGAAGGUGGCCUGUGAGGGUUGCUGGAGGUAUCAGAAGUGCGAAUGCUGACAUAAGUAACGAUAAAGCGGGUGAAAAGCCCGCUCGCCGGAAGACCAAGGGUUCCUGUCCAACGUUAAUCGGGGCAGGGUGAGUCGACCCCUAAGGCGAGGCCGAAAGGCGUAGUCGAUGGGAAACGGGUUAAUAUUCCCGUACUUGGUGUUACUGCGAAGGGGGGACGGAGAAGGCUAUGUUGGCCGGGCGACGGUUGUCCCGGUUUAAGCGUGUAGGUGUGUGUUCCAGGUAAAUCCGGUUCACUUUAACACUGAGGCGUGACGACGAGGCACUACGGUGCUGAAGCAACAAAUGCCCUGCUUCCAGGAAAAGCCUCUAAGCAUCAGGUAACAUCAAAUCGUACCCCAAACCGACACAGGUGGUCAGGUAGAGAAUACCAAGGCGCUUGAGAGAACUCGGGUGAAGGAACUAGGCAAAAUGGUGCCGUAACUUCGGGAGAAGGCACGCUGACACGUAGGUGAAGUGAUUUACUCAUGGAGCUGAAGUCAGUCGAAGAUACCAGCUGGCUGCAACUGUUUAUUAAAAACACAGCACUGUGCAAACACGAAAGUGGACGUAUACGGUGUGACGCCUGCCCGGUGCCGGAAGGUUAAUUGAUGGGGU
rnacentral:rRNA from 1 species